rnacentral:ncRNA from 19 species
AUCGUUCAUCCUGUCUAACGCUUGACAUUGCUAGCUUGAUAGGACAAGUAGAGAAACCCCUCUCGAAGGAACGUGCC